UUGUUUCAUGCUCAGGUAGGAUAGCUUUUCCUUUGUCAGAUGACUCAGGUAUUUGAGAAGUAAUCGUAGGUGGAGGAAUAUUGAUUUGAGGUGAAGGUACUCCUUUUAGAUCUAGUUGGGAUAGUUUGGAGAUUAAUUGAUCCAUAAGGGAUUUAUUAUUUUCUCCAAUGUGGAAUUUAUUCUUAUUUAACUCAGGAGGAGGUUUAAAUAAUACUGAUUUAGGAAUGGGAGAGACAGUAGGUAUUUCCUUGGAUACGAUUCUUUC
rnacentral:lncRNA from 1 species